AUAUUUCCAAGCCCACUCAAUAAAAGUCCUCACCAAUUUUCCUUUAAGGCAAGUGAUGCAGAAAACGGACGCGUCGGGACGCCUGCUGAAAUGGGCUAUCGAGCUCAGCGAGUUUGAUCUCACGUUCCGACCUAGACACGCUAUCAAGGGCCAGGCCCUUGCCGAUUUUAUGGUCGAGUUUACCAAAGCCCCAGAAAUGGAGGCCCUAAUGGAACCAACCGAGCCCCCCACAUGGAAAUUGUUUGUAGAUGGGUCUUCAGGAGAGGCUGGCGAGGGGCCGGGAAUCGUGUUGGAGAGCCCGGAAGGCCAUUUGCUAAAUUGUGCGGUAAGAUUCGACUUCAGAGCCUCGAACAACGCGGUCGAAUAUGAGGCCCUUCUGGCAGGUCUAAGGCUCGCCAAGGAAAUGCAGGUCAGGAAGCUCCUAGCAAGCAGUGAUUCUCAGCUCGUAGUAAAUCAGGUAAAUGGGGAUUUCGCAGCCAAAGAUGGUAACAUGCUUGCGUACUUGAAGCUGGUUCUAGACAUAAUUCCCCAUUUUGAAAGGUUCGAACUGACUCAAGUCCCCCGUCUAGAAAAUGCCUAUGCAGAUGCCCUCUCAAAGUUAGCCAGCAGCAUGAACUCAGAGCUUCUAAACAUCGUCCCCAUUGAGCACUUAUUGAAGCCCUCCACCUUCGAAGGCGAAGAGUUACUAUGGAUAGAAGGCACCCCAUUGUGGAUGCAGCCCAUAAUCGCAUAUCUAAAGGAACAAACACUGCCUGCUUCUGGAGGCGAAGCAAGAAAAUUAAG
rnacentral:lncRNA from 1 species